CGAAUCCUGAUGUGUUCGUUAGAUGCUUAUCAGUUUUGACCGAACAUAAUAUCGUCGGGAGUUCAUAUUUUGAAAUGGCAAGCAUGCCCGUAAUGGGACGUUUAAAGUUUUGAAGAGGACACCCACCUGCUCAAUGCGGGUUCAAAACGAUUUGAUUUUAAGACGGCAUGAUCGGGAUUCGU
rnacentral:other from 1 species